UAAAUGUGACAAACUAAAUUCAAAGGCCGAAUUUUAUGCAGAGAGGGAAAAGGGAAAGAUCAUGAUAAGUUGGGUUAACUCUUUGGGCCGAAUCCAGACCCGAAUUUGAUAUUCGGAGCCCCGGCCGGAAGCCAACUGAAUUAAUGAGCGAAACAGAAAAUAAGUCAACAAAAAAUGGCGUCUUCUUCCUUUACCUGCCGGGAGAUCGUCAACCGCCACCAUUACCACCACAACCGUGCUAUUCCGCCUCCGGCAAUUUACAGUUGUACCGCCGCAACCACUGACCGUAUGCUCUCCUGCGUUUCUGCUUAUUCUUACUCCUUUAAAUUGGAUCGCCGUGAUUCAUUUCCGCCCAAACGCAAUUCGUGGUUGGGAUGCCGCCGCGCCACCGGUCCAGCACCGGAGCCGACUUCAGAGGAACAUCUGUCUCCAAUAUCUGGUGUAACGACGACCUUCACCAGAUUUCAGGAUACUCUACGGAUCUUCUUUGCUGUGCUAUUUUGGAUGUCUUUUUUCUUCUGGUCUUCUAUAUGGGAUGGGGGAAACGGUGGUAGCCCCAACAAGUUGUCUCGAUUUAGGAAAUAGCUUACUUAAUUAUUGACGACGUGAUCAAAAGGUAGGCUGUGGUCCCAGCUAGCAACAUGUCCAUACCUUAUCACCAUCCAUGGGGGCACAUGUUCAGGUCAAGUGAAUUGAUCGUGGCACCCGAGUGCAGCUCUGCCUCGAUCUCAUUGGUGGACCAAAUGCGGCUAAUGAAUGAUCAAGAAAGACAGAAUGCGACGGCCCUCUCUGUGCUGUUUCUGAGUCGUGGCAGCCGAUUAUUUGAUGGACCGAGCAAGUGAAAAAGGCACGUCCCAUUUCCCCUUUUGGGUGUUUCUCAUCCUGGCUUUUGAGCAUGACCGUGAAAUUUUAAAUUUUUUUUUUUGUUUCAAUUUAAUUUGGUUUAUACUGUAUCACCACCAUAUCUACAGAAGUGGAGUGUGGUUAGCUGCUUGUCGUUAUCAUGCUUUUCUAUAAUCUAAGAUUAAAUUAAGAUUACUAGUACUACUAUAAUUCUUCACCAGAAAAAAAGUGAGAUGUGGAGCCCCUCGUUGCUAAAAUAUCCAGAUUAAGAAUAUUUGUGGAUGAUAAUCACGUCAAUUUGGCCUUCAUUUAUACGCAGGCA